rnacentral:ncRNA from 1 species
AAAAGACUUAGUCCCAACCUUACUGUUGGUUGUUGCUAGGAGUAUACAUGCAAGUAUCCGCGUUCCAGUGCGUAUGCCCUAGGCACCCUUGAUAACCAAGUCGAUAGGAGCGGGCAUCAGGCACACUCAUCUAGUAGCCCAAGACGCCUAGCAUUUGCCACGCCCCCACGGGUAUUCAGCAGUAGCUAAUAUUAAGCAAUGAGUGCAAACUUGACUUAGCCAUAGCAAAUUUAGGGCUGGUAAAUCCUGUGCCAGCCACCGCGGUCAUACAGGAAGCCCAAAUCAACUUUAUAGACGGUGUAAAGUGUGGUCACAUGUUAUCCGAGUAGCUAAGAUUAAAAAGCAACUGAGCUGUCAUAAGCCCAAGAUGCCCAUAAGACCGCUAGUCCAAAGAAAAUCUUAGUGUAACGAUGAAUUGAAAUCCACGAAAGCCAGGGCCCAAACUGGGAUUAGAUACCCCACUAUGCCUGGCCCUAAAUCAUGAUAUUCUAAUCUACCCGAAUAUCCACCCGAGAACUACGAGCGCAAACGCUUAAAACUCUAAGGACUUGGCGGUGCCCUAAACCCACCUAGAGGAGCCUGUUCUGUAAUCGACGAUCCACGAUAUUACCUGACCACUUCUUGCCAAUUCAGCCUAUAUACCGCCGUCGCCAGCUCACCCUCCCUGAAGGCACAACAGUGAGCGCAACAGCCCUAUUACGCUAGCACGACAGGUCAAGGUAUAGCCUAUGGAGUGGAAGCAAUGGGCUACAUUUUCUAGAUUAGAACAAACGGCAAAGGAGCAUGAAACAGCUCCUGGAAGGCGGAUUUAGCAGUAAAGAGAGAGAAUUGAGCCCUCUUUAAGCCGGCCCUGGGGCACGUACAUACCGCCCGUCGCCCUCCUCACAAGCGACCCCUAACCCCAUAACUAAUAAGCUGUCAAGCCGAAGAGGAGGUAAGUCGUAACAAGGUAAGUGUACCGGAAGGUGUACUUAGAUUACA